rnacentral:rRNA from 1 species
UUCGCAAUGCCCGAAAGGGUGACGAAGCGACGCCGCGUGCGGGAGGAAGGCCUUCGGGUUGUAAACCGCUGUCGGGAGUUAAGAAAUGUAAGGAUGUUAAUAGCAUCUUUGCUUGACUAAGGCUCCGGAGGAAGCCACGGCCAACUCUGUGCCAGCAGCCGCGGUAAUACAGAGGCGGCAAGCGUUGUUCGGAAUUAUUGGGCGUAAAGAGCACGUAGGCGGCUAUGUAAGUCGGUUGUGAAAGCCUUCCGCUCAACGGGAGAACAGCAUCCGAUACUGCAUGGCUUGAGUGCGGGAGGGGAGAGUGGAACUUCUGGUGGAGCGGUGAAAUGCGUAGAUAUCAGAAGGAACGCCGGCGGCGAAAGCGGCUCUCUGGCCCAUAACUGACGCUGAGUGUGCGAAAGCUAGGGGAGCAAACGGGAUUAGAUACCCCGGUAGUCCUGGCCGUAAACGAUGGGCACUAAGUAGAGGGGUUUU